rnacentral:lncRNA from 1 species
AUAUGAAAUAAUCUAGAUUUUUUUUUUUUUUUUUUUUGCUUUUUCAGAUUCAUAAAGGAGCUAUCACAGACCUUGUCAACCUUGGAGAUAUGUUUGUGACAUCAUCACUGGAUGGUACUGUGAAGGUGUGGUCUACUGCAUCCUAUUCCCAGAUUGGUCAAUUUUUCUGCCUGGCACCAGUGACUAGUAUGACAGCUUCAAAAAUGGAUCAGGGCAAAAUGAUCGCCUGUGGUGAUAAGCUUGGUAAUGUUUACUUCCUGAAAAGCGAGGCAUAAGUUAGUGACUACAAAUGUUGAAUAACUGGAUGAGUAGACAUACAGUAUAUGCCAUUCUUAAGAUUCUUAAAUGUUGUAGUAGUUUAGAUAGUAAGGUGAUAGGUAAAAAAGAUAAUCUUUUGUUUAGAGCAAAAGAUUAUAUUCUACUCAAAGAUAUAGAUUGUAUCAUUUAUUGUUUCGCAGAAAAUAUCUGCCAUUUAGAAAAUGUAUUAUGUAAUCAGUCAAUCAAAUUCAUCAAUGAAUACAUGUGAUGCAAUUAAAUUACAACACCAAUAUUUGCAUUUUUAAGGAUUCCUUUUUGCUUUACAUUUAAUUUAUUCAUCAAUACCAAGCAAAUAUUUGUGUAGACUUUCAUCUAGUGUACUGUGUGUUGAAUAUAGUACUUAAUCCAUAAAGUAUCACUUAUGUUAAUAAUAAUAAUAAUAAUCAUAAUAUUUAUAUUCAGUAUUUUCAAUAUAACCUUGCCUAUCUUCUUUGUGCCAUGUGGCCUUUAAGGACAUAAUAUCAAUAUGAUUGCAGAUAAUAUGUUAUUGUUAUUAUUUUUAUUAUUAUUGUUAUUAUUUUUAUUACUGUUAUUAUUAUUAUUAUUAUUACUGUUAUUAUUAUUAUUAUUAUUAUUUAUUAUUAUUAUUAUUAUUAUUAUUACUGUUAAUAUUAUUAUCAGGUUUCAUGUUUGUUUAUAUAUUAUUUACUAGCAAUUUUAAUACUAAACUUAACUUAUGAUGACAGCAUCAUAAUCAUCACCAUCAUUGUCAUCAUUAUAUAUUUUCUUGGCUCACUGACGUGACUAGACAGUUGAUAACUAGAGAAUGCUAAUGACAGGACUUAUAACUUGACCACUAAGUGACUUGACUUACGAAUCUGACCAGUAAACUGACUGACCUAAAUAUUUUCAAUAGAUAAUGGGUAUACAUAUUUGAGAGUACUGUAAAUUAAGAUUAUCUAGUCUAUUUUGCAAUAAAUAUAUUCAGUAUUAUUAUUGUAUUGUUAUAGUUCUUGGCUCACUGACGUGACUAGACUGUUGAUGAUUUAUAUAGUCUAUUGUGUGUUACCCAUGUUUAAUAUUUUUUCUGCAAAAUAUCCUCAAUCAAUUUCCACUGUCUUUUGCCAUGUGUGUCUGUCAUUAGCUUUUGCAAUUUUAUUAUUUAUUAUAUUGCUGUUAUUUUUAUGGUGAUUAUAGUAAUUUCUUUAUUAUUUUAUAUAUUUUAUGAACUAUUGAGUCAAGUAUUAGCUAAUAUGUUAUUGUUAUUGAUAUUAAUAUAAUAAAUAAUUUAUAUAUUAUCUUUUAUUUUUAUUAUCAUUAUUAUUUUUAUUUUAUUGACUAAUAUAAGUUUUACGUUUAUUUGGCAACUCUUCCUGAUUGAUGAAUGUUCUAGGCUCACUGACAGGACUAGACUGUUUAUGAAAAGAUGUUGAUGACUUACAGGACCAAUAACUGACUUGACUUACGACUUUACCGCUUAAUGACUCGAUUUUAUUGUAUUUAAUUCAAUUUAUCACUGUAGAUAUGGUGUAUGUACAUUGGAGGAAAUGAUAUAUCUUUUUGUAUGUGUGUUUUCAAUGUUAUACUAGUUUUUGGGGUUUUUUUUUCGUAUCAAUACAAUUGUUGUGGAGAUUUUAAUAGAAAAGAAUAUAUAUAAUAUAUAAAUUAAUGUGGAAAAGCUAAAUGGAAGUCAUAUUACUAGUAUAAAUUAAGGUUCAACACACUUGCCAUGUGAUCAUGUGGUAAUAUGGAUGGUGUGAUCUUUUUCAAACGCUAAUAAUAUAUUUUAUAAUGUUAAUACAAAACUAUGUUACCUAAACACAUAGAUGACUAAUAACAUUGAUAAUUAUAACCCACAUACAUCCAAAGCAUGUAGUCACAAGAAGAUGUUAUUAAAAUAUAUUAGUACAGUA